GACGGGACCCGCACAAGCGGUGGAGCAUGUGGUUUAAUUCGACGAUACGCGAAGAACCUUACCUGGCCUUGACAUACUAAAAAGCUUUAAGAGAUUAGAGUGUGCUAGCUUGCUAGAAUUUAGAUACAGGUGCUGCACGGCUGUCGUCAGCUCGUGUCGUGAGAUGUGGGUUAAGUCCCGCAACGAGCGCAACCUCGUGUUAGUUGCUAACAGUUCGGCUGAGAACUCUAAACAGACUGCCUACGCAAGUAGGAGGAAGGUGAGGACGACGUCAAGUCAUCAUGGCCCUUACGGCCAGGGCUACACACGUGCUACAAUGGGGUAUACAAAGAGCAGCGAUACGGUGACGUGGAGCAAAUCUAGAAAAUGCCUCUCAGUUCGGAUUGUAGUCUGCAACUCGACUACAUGAAGUUGGAAUCGCUAGUAAUCGUAGAUCAGCAAUGCUACGGUGAAUACGUUCCCGGGUCUU
rnacentral:rRNA from 1 species